CCUACGGGUGGCAGCAGUGAGGAAUAUUGGUCAAUGGCCGUAAUGCUGAACCAGCCAAGUCGCGUGAGGGAAGAAGGAUCUAUGGUUUGUAAACUUCUUUUAUAGGGGAAUAAAGGUAUCCACGUGUGGAUAUUUGCAUGUACCCUAUGACUAAGCAUCGGCUAACUCCGUGCCAGCAUCAGCGGUAAUACGGAGGAUGCGAGCGUUCUCCGGGUUUAUUGGGUGUAAAGGGUGCGUAGGGGGUUUUUGAGGUCAGCGGUGAAAGUGUGGGGCUAAACAAUCAAAUUGCCGUUGAAACUGGAAGACUUGAGUGUGUUUGAGGUAGGCGGAAUGCGUGGUGUAGCGGUGAAAUGCGUAGAUAUCACGCAGAACUCCGAUUGCGAAGGCAGCCUACUAGGCCAUAACUGACACUGAAGCACGAAAGCGUGGGGAUCAAACAGGAUUAGAUACCCUUGUAGUC
rnacentral:rRNA from 1 species